UGGAUUAAUCAUGACUCCUGGUAAUGGAUGGGUCUUAGACAGUGAACUCUGGACCAUCUGGAACUCUGAGGCCCAU